AUACUUGCUGACGUCUGGCAUUCAUCGUUUACGGUGUGGACUACCAGGGUAUCUAAUCCUGUUUGCUCCCCACACUUUCGCACCUCAGCGUCAGUUUCGAGCCAGUAAGCCGCCUUCGCCACUGGUGUUCCUCCAAAUAUCUACGAAUUUCACCUCUACACUUGGAAUUCCACUUACCUCUCUCGAACUCAAGACUAGCAGUAUUAAAGGCAGUUCCAGGGUUGAGCCCUGGGAUUUCACCCUUAACUUACUAAUCCGCCUACGUGCGCUUUACGCCCAGUAAUUCCGAACAACGCUAACCCCCUCCGUAUUACCGCGGCUGCUGGCACGGAGUUGGCCGGGGUUUCUUUACCAGAUACUGUCAUUAUCAUCUCUGGCGAAAGUGCUUUACGACCCUAAGGCCUUCAUCACACACGCGGCAUGGCUAGAUCAGGGUUUCCCCCAUUGUCUAAGAUUCCCUACUGCUGCCUCCCGUAGGAGUCUGGGCCGUGUCUCAGUCCCAGUGUGGCUGAUCAUCCUCUCAAACCAGCUAUAGAUCGUAGGCUUGGUAGGCCAUUACCCCACCAACUACCUAAUCUAACGCGGGCUAAUCCUUCUCCGAUAAAUCUUUCCCCCGAAGGGCGUAUAAGGUAUUACUCUCAGUUUCCCGAGGCUAUUCCUUAGAGAAGGGCAUAUUCCCACGCGUUACUCACCCGUCCGCCGCUCAUCCCGAAGGAUGCGCUCGACUUGCAUGUAUUAGGCCUGCCGCCAGCGUUCGUUCUGAGCCAGGAUCAAACUCU
rnacentral:rRNA from 1 species